UACGGAGGGUGCAAGCGUUGUUCGGAUUUACUGGGCGUAAAGCGUGUUGAGGUGGAAUAUCAAGUCAGGUGUGAAAUCCCUCGGCUUAACCGAGGAGGGUCAUCUGAAACUGGUAUUCUUGAGUCCCGGAGAGGUGGGUGGAAUUCCCAGUGUAGAGGUGAAAUUCGUAGAGAUUGGGAGGAACAUCGGAGGCGAAAGCGACUCACUGGCCGGGCACUGACACUGACACACGAAAGCGUGGGUAGCAAACAGG
rnacentral:misc_RNA from 1 species